rnacentral:misc_RNA from 1 species
CAGCUUUCAGGAGUGAUGCACAUGUUGGCAAGUGGAAUGACAACUUAUCUAUAGCUGAUUGUAGCCACUGGUGUUUACCUGGAGUACCUGAUAUGUGGAAUGAAAUUUUACUCUAUUUCUUGCUAUAUCAACCAUAGAUUCUCUCUCCAAUGAUGAUAUUCAAAAACACAUACAAAUCUGAUUACUUAUUGAUACCUGCUCAAGAAACUACCAGCCUCGGC